rnacentral:rRNA from 1 species
CCUACGGGACGCACUAGUGGGGAAUAUUGCACAAUGGGCGCAAGCCUGAUGCAGCCAUGCCGCGUGUAUGAAGAAGGCCUUCGGGUUGUAAAGUACUUCCAGCGAGGAGGAAGGCAUCAAGGUUAAUAACCUUGGUGAUUGACGUUACUCGCAGAAGAAGCACCGGCUAACUCCGUGCCAGCAGCCGCGGUAAUAUGGAGGGUGCAAGCGUUAAUCGGAAUUACUGGGCGUAAAGCGCACGCAGGCGGUCUGUCAAGUCGGAUGUGAAAUCCCUGGGCUCAACCUGGGAACUGCAUUCGAAACUGGCAGGCUAGAGUCUUGUAGAGGGGGGUAGAAUUCCAGGUGUAGCGGUGAAAUGCGUAGAGAUCUGGAGGAAUACCGGUGGCGAAGGCGGCCCCCUGGACAAAGACUGACGCUCAGGUGCGAAAGCGUGGGGAGCAAACAGGAUUAGAUACCCGUGUAGUC